rnacentral:rRNA from 1 species
GUGGGGAAUCUUCCGCAAUGGACGAAAGUCUGACGGAGCAACGCCGCGUGAGUGAAGAAGGUUUUCGGAUCGUAAAGCUCUUUCGUUAGGGACGAACGUGCUCUUUGUGAAUAAUGAGGAGUAUUGACGGUACUAAACGAGGAAGCCACGGCUAACUACGUGCCAGCAGCCGCGGUAAUACGUAGGUGGCAAGCGUUGUCCGGAAUUAUUGGGCGUAAAGCGCGCGCAGGCGGGAUAUCAAGUCUGUCUUAAAAGUGCGAGGCUCAACCUCGUGAGGGGACAGAAACUGGUAUUCUUGAGUGUCGGAGAGGAAAGUAGAAUUCCAAGUGUAGCGGUGAAAUGCGUAGAGAUUUGGAAGAACACCAGUGGCGAAGGCGACUUUCUGGACGAUGUCUGACGCUGAGGCGCGAAAGCUAGGGGAGCGAACGGGAUUAGAAAACCUGGUAGUCC